AACGCUAGCGGCAGGCUUACACAUGCAAGUCGAGGGGCAUCGGGAGUAGCAAUACUUGCCGGCGACCGGCGCAAGGGUGCGUAACGCGUGAGCAACAUGCCCGUAUCAGGGGGAUAAUCCAUCGGAAACGUGGUCUAAUACCCCAUAGUAAUUAUGUAAGGCAUCUUAUAUAAUUUAAAGGCUUUGGUGGAUACGGAUUGGCUCGCGUGACAUUAGCUGGAUGGUAAGGUAACGGCUUACCAUGGCUACGAUAUCUAGGGGUUCUGAGAGAAGGUCCCCCACACUGGAACUGAGACACGGUCCAGACUCCUACGGGAGGCAGCAGUGAGGAAUAUUGGACAAUGGAUGGAAAUCUGAUCCAGCCAUGCCGCGUGCAGGAAGACGGCCCUAUGGGUUGUAAACUGCUUUUGUAUGGGAGCAAUAAGGGCUACGUGUAGUCCGAUGAGAGUACCAUACGAAUAAGCACCGGCUAACUCCGUGCCAGCCGCCGC
rnacentral:rRNA from 1 species